rnacentral:rRNA from 1 species
UACGGGGGGAGCAAGCGUUGUUCGGAUUUACUGGGCGUAAAGGGCGCGUAGGCGGCCAGCGCAAGUCAGUUGUGAAAUCUCCAGGCUUAACUCGGAACGGUCAACUGAUACUGCGCGGCUAGAGUGCAGAAGGGGCAACUGGAAUUCUCGGUGUAGCGGUGAAAUGCGUAGAUAUCGAGAGGAACACCUGCGGCGAAGGCGGGUUGCUGGGCUGACACUGACGCUGAUGCGCGAAAGCCAGGGGAGCGAACGGG